rnacentral:rRNA from 1 species
AAACGGAGGAAAAGAAACCAACAGGGAUUGCCUUAGUAGCGGCGAGUGAAGCGGCAAAAGCUCAAAUUUGAAAUCUGGCGCCUUCGGUGUCCGAGUUGUAAUUUGAAGAUUGUAACCUUGGGGUUGGCUCUUGUCUAUGUUUCUUGGAACAGGACGUCACAGAGGGUGAGAAUCCCGUGCGAUGAGAUGCCCAAUUCUAUGUAAGGUGCUUUCGAAGAGUCGAGUUGUUUGGGAAUGCAGCUCUAAGUGGGUGGUAAAUUCCAUCUAAAGCUAAAUAUUGGCGAGAGACCGAUAGCGAACAAGUACAGUGAUGGAAAGAUGAAAAGAACUUUGAAAAGAGAGUGAAAAAGUACGUGAAAUUGUUGAAAGGGAAGGGUUUGAGAUCAGACUCGAUAUUUUGUGAGCCUUGCCUUCGUGGCGGGGUGACCCGCAGCUUAUCGGGCCAGCAUCGGUUUGGGCGGUAGGAUAAUGGCGUAGGAAUGUGACUUUACUUCGGUGAAGUGUUAUAGCCUGCGUUGAUGCUGCCUGCCUAGACCGAGGACUGCGAUUUUAUCAAGGAUGCUGGCAUAAUGAUCCCAAACCGCCCGUCUUG